CUACGGGUCGCAGCAGUGAGGAAUAUUGCACAAUGGAGGGAACCCUGAUGCAGCAACGCCGCGUGGAGGAUGACGCAUUUCGGUGUGUAAACUCCUUUUAUAUGUCAAGAAAAUGACGGUAGCAUAUGAAUAAGCACCGGCUAACUCCGUGCCAGCAGCCGCGGUAAUACGGAGGGUGCAAGCGUUACUCGGAAUCACUGGGCGUAAAGGACGCGUAGGCGGGUUGGAAAGUCAGGUGUGAAAUCCUACAGCUUAACUGUAGAACUGCACUUGAAACUUCUAAUCUAGAGUAUGGGAGGGGGAGAUGGAAUUAGUGGUGUAGGGGUAAAAUCCGUAGAUAUCACUAGGAAUACCUAAAGCGAAGGCGAUCUCCUGGAACAUUACUGACGCUAAGGCGUGAAAGUGUGGGGAGCAAACAGGAUUAGAUACCCUGGUAGUC
rnacentral:rRNA from 1 species